rnacentral:tRNA from 1 species
AGGCGCGUAGCUCAGGUGGUUAGAGCACCACCUUGACAUGGUGGGGGUCGUUGGUUCGAGUCCAAUCGCGCCUACCA